rnacentral:snoRNA from 1 species
ACCGAGGCUAGAGUCACAUCUGGUCAUGCUGCUGUUGUCCUGGUGUGCUAGAGCUCUCGCAGAGGAACACGUCUUUGCUUAUUCAUUGGCUGUAGUCUUUUUGUGGCCCAGUCAAUCACCAGCUCAGACACAAUU